CAGUCGCCGCGGGAAUACGAAGGGGGCUAGCGUUGUUCGGAUUUACUGGGCGUAAAGCGCACGUAGGCGGACUUUUAAGUCAGGGGUGAAAUCCCGGGGCUCAACCCCGGAACUGCCUUUGAUACUGGAAGUCUUGAGUAUGGUAGAGGUGAGUGGAAUUCCGAGUGUAGAGGUGAAAUUCGUAGAUAUUCGGAGGAACACCAGUGGCGAAGGCGGCUCACUGGACCAUUACUGACGCUGAGGUGCGAAAGCGUGGGGAGCAAACAGGAUUAGAUACCCGAGUAGUCCCUGUCUCUUAUAC
rnacentral:rRNA from 1 species